rnacentral:rRNA from 1 species
UACGUAGGGUGCGAGCGUUGUCCGGAAUUAUUGGGCGUAAAGAGCUUGUAGGCGGUUUGUCGCGUCUGCCGUGAAAGCCCAGGGCUUAACCCUGGGUCUGCGGUGGGUACGGGCAGACUAGAGUGUGGUAGGGGAGACUGGAAUUCCUGGUGUAGCGGUGAAAUGCGCAGAUAUCAGGAGGAACACCGGUGGCGAAGGCGGGUCUCUGGGCCGAUACUGACGCUGAGGAGCGAAAGCAUGGGUAGCGAACAGG